rnacentral:rRNA from 1 species
GACGAACGCUGGCGGCGUGCUUAACACAUGCAAGUCGAACGGUGAAGGUGGGAGCUUGCUCCUGCUGGAUCAGUGGCGAACGGGUGAGUAACACGUGAGCAAUCUGCCCCGAACUCUGGGAUAAGCGCUGGAAACGGCGUCUAAUACCGGAUACGACGCGCGAGGGCAUCCUCUGCGCGUGGAAAGAACUUCGGUUCGGGAUGGGCUCGCGGCCUGUCAGCUUGUUGGUGAGGUAAUGGCUCACCAAGGCGACGACGGGUAGCCGGCCUGGGAGGGUGACCGGCCACGCUGGGACGGAGACACGGCCCAGAAUCCUACGGGAGGCAGCAGUGGGGAAUAUUGCACAAGGGGCGCAAGCCUGAUGCAGCAACGCCGCGUGAGGGACGACGGCCUUCGGGUUGUAAACCUCUUUUAGUAGGGAAGAAGCGAAAGUGACGGUACCUGCAGAAAAAGCACCGGCUAACUACGUGCCAGCCGCCGCCGUAAUAC